GCGACAGAGCUACCACUUAGCAUUGGACACAGUGCCCUGGGAUAGAUAAGAGGUCCCCUUAAAAUCCACUUUCCAUCCCUCGUACUGUUUCCACUGCUGCCUGCACCACCACUGCCCC
rnacentral:precursor_RNA from 15 species